GGAGGGGUGGCAGAGCGGCUGAAUGCGCCAGUCUUGAAAACUGGAGUGGGUUCACGCCCACCGCGGGUUCGAAUCCCGCCCCCUCCG
rnacentral:tRNA from 2 species